rnacentral:rRNA from 1 species
UACGGAGGGUGCAAGCGUUAUCCGGAUUUACUGGGUUUAAAGGGUGUGUAGGCGGGUCUUUAAGUCAGUGGUGAAAUCUCCGAGCUUAACUUGGAAACUGCCAUUGAUACUAUUGAUCUUGAAUUCUGUUGAGGUGGGCGGAAUAUGUCAUGUAGCGGUGAAAUGCUUAGAUAUGACAUAGAACACCAAUUGCGAAGGCAGCUCACUAAACAGAUAUUGACGCUGAGGCACGAAAGCGUGGGGAUCAAACAGG